rnacentral:rRNA from 1 species
CUACGGGGUGCUGCAGUGAGGAAUAUUGCACAAUGGGGGGAACCCUGAUGCAGCAACGCCGCGUGGAGGAUGACGCAUUUCGGUGUGUAAACUCCUUUUAUAUGUCAAGAAAAUGACGGUAGCAUAUGAAUAAGCACCGGCUAACUCCGUGCCAGCAGCCGCGGUAAUACGGAGGGUGCAAGCGUUACUCGGAAUCACUGGGCGUAAAAGACGCGUAGGCGGGGUGGAAAGUCAGGUGUGAAAUCCUACAGCUUAACUGUAGAACUGCACUUGAAACUUCUAAUCUAGAGUAUGGGAGGGGGAGAUGGAAUUAGUGGUGUAGGGGUAAAAUCCGUAGAUAUCACUAGGAAUACCUAAAGCGAAGGCGAUCUCCUGGAACAUUACUGACGCUAAGGCGUGAAAGCGUGGGGAGCAAACAGGAUUAGAUACCCGUGUAGUC